UGGGUGAGGGGAUCCGUCUGUACGGUGUUAAUAACGUCUGAUUUUCUUCUUUGAUCAAAAGAGAUAAAAAACUUGUAAUGGUUUCUUUCUGUAACCCAGUUAAUCAUUAUCGUGGGGGUGCAGUCACUGCUGUGUGUGCCUUCGUUAACACAAGAGCAGGCUCGGAUCCAAGUUUUGUGGAACUUGGGACUGUUACAACUUCUGGGGAAAGGAAACUCUUUACGAAAAAGAGCACACACACAAAUCUUACUUUUGCAACUUCUUACAAACUCUGUGAUCCUAGCAACACGGUCCUGGGUCCUCUCAGAGUGGCUCCCGGGGUGAUGGGAGAGGAUUCUGGGGGCGGGGGACCCAGCACCCCCAGAAAGGAGGACGGCCUGCCUCCAGAUCGUUCUCUUCUUACAGGCCUGUCCUCGACGUCUCUUCCGUUUCUCUCUGCGGCUCUCACACGCCCCUCUGCUCGCCUGAACCCGUCCGCCCGGACGCCACGCGGGGCCACCCAGGAGAAACCAGCGGCAGAAUUCUUUGAAACAAGGACGUAACCACGGCCCUGCGGCUCCGAAGGCGGGCGAGGUACACGCCACGUUUACCCAGCAUGCCUCGGGCGGCCCCAGGACUGGCUGGCUGCGGCCACGUGACUGGGCCGCUCGUGAUCACGUCACGCGGCCGCGCACAAGCCCCGAUCUGCGCCUGCGCGGCGAGGGGCCCCAGAGGCGGGAAGGCCCGGGGGCUGCGGGUCGGUUGCGGGCGGGGCUGGCCUGGUCGCGGGAAGAGCUUGCCGCCUGCGUGGUUUGCGGACCGAUGCCCAUCCGGCCCGCGCGGCCUCGUCGUGCAGCCCGGGCGGAGAAGGCCUGCGUCUGCCUUCCUUCCUUCCUGACAGGUGGGAGCGGAUUUGGGGGCGCAGGGAGCCAGGCGUGCUGGAAAGAACCUAGAAGAAACCGGAGGAACCUUCUAGAAUGUGUGUCUGAAUGCGCUCUGGGAACACUGACCAUACGAAAAUCAGGUCAGACGAUGGUCAAUGAAGCUGAAUAGCCAGUGAUGUCCAUAAAUAAACAGAGCCUCACGCUCCCGCCAUCUUAUACUUCGUUACUUUAGAUGUCCCAAGGCCUGCGGUCUUACCCUUGGCGAAGCCGGUUUAGAGGAAGAGAGAGCCAAAGGGAAAGAAAGGGAACCGUGUUGUAGGUUUGGCUCAGCGCUCUCUGUUUUACCAAAUCCUUAAAUGCUGUGGGCUGAAAAACCGAGACGGAGAGAAUUUAUACGUGACCUAAGUUAGAACAUAAGUCAAGUAAGUCAGUAUAUAUCAAGGACAGAACGUGGCCUCAGAUCUCUCUGAACACAAAGAAGGCUUUUACCAAGAGUAUCUUCAGCAUGUUGAGCCUGCGGGCUGCUGUCAGGAUGCCUGACUUCUCUGCACCUCCGUCCCUUCUCAGAUGUCCUUCUGAUGAGCUUCCCAUGAAACUGGAAUGUUCUACUUCAUGUCAAGAACUAAGAGGGAGGAAGGUUCACAGACAAGAUUGUGUUGAAUUCUUCUUGUCCCUUUUUCCCGGUGUUACACGCGAACGGGUCCAGUGCGGAAGGAGGAAAGCCCAGCCAGGCCGCAGGAUUUAAGGAUUUUCAGCCUGUGGAUUCAGGAAGUAGAAGUCUCAAUUUUUAGAGCCGCUCUGUCAGGCACUUUACAGCUUCCUCUUCGAAGUGCUAAGUGCCAUAAAUCUCUGGACGGCCGGUCUCCAAACUCACAUGUAAACGGUCCUGCACACGAGCAGCAAUGGCCACCGACACAAUUCACAGAUGCUCCCCCAGUGGAGGCCCAGGAUCCCAGGGAGAGGGUGAGAGCCCUGAGCUGCUGAACAAAUCCUCUGGUUGAGACGAAGGAUCUGUUUUCCACGCACCCGACUUGCUCACUCACUGAGGGCAGAGUUGGCCGAGGGUCCGCACGUCCAGCUGCUGUCUUUGACCUCUGCCUGUCCCGGGAAGUAGGCAGACCGCAGCGAGUGGCCGUGGCGUUCAGCUCCUCUCGCUGAGUUUCUACGGAGAGGACCUCAGAAUGAGGAGGAAAGGCAGAACAUUUGGAGAAUACAGAGAAGCAUCAAGAACAAAAUCAAGGCCAUGCGAAAGGGGGUUACCCAAUGGAGACUGCAGUGUGGAAGGGACCUUUCAGAGCAGCGGAACGGGCAGUGUGGAGGGUCCAGCUGGCCUCUCUGUCCUCCGGGCCCCUCGGCGGACCUUGCUCUCUGACCUCCCUUCUACCCCGUGGGGGUUGUUCUGCGGCAUCACCUCUGUUGCUUCUCCACAGUCAAGGACGGAAGGAAAGUUCUGUCCUUUCUCGGUCCCGCGAGUGCUGCUCGCUCCCAUGCUCGGGCAGGUCCGUCCAGCCCACAGACUCGGGAAUCUUUCUGGUGCACUACUAACCGUACCCGUUGUGAUGGCCACUUAAAAAUCCCCACAAAAGUGUCCUUAAUUUCAGAAAACGUCCCGUAAGUUCUCAGUUCUAAGAUAGUCUUGUAAGAGGAAGGCGCAAUGGAAAUGAUGGAAAUGUUCUAAUCCUACUUUUUAAAGCUGUGGAAUCAAAAGAAUGUCUUCUGCGCAGCCCUUUAAAUCCUCCAGAAGGCGCUAUGCCAGAUUUUCCUGAGCGGCCCAUUUUAAUCGUGGACCGAUCGAGAUUUUUAACGAGAGUUUAUCUGGAAAUUGUCAGGGCAGCUUCCAUAGAUUUCCCAGCAGCGCUCCUGCCAGAGGUGAUGUGGAUUUACUGUAACUGUUGUGCUUUGUGGAAUAAGGUGUUUCACGUGAAAGGAGGUGAAUUAGAAUCUCUUGCUUCGUUUCUGGCCUGGUUUCUUGCUUCGUAUUCCUCAAAAUGAAGCCGUCAGUCUCGAUGGGAUGCGGCUCUACCUUGACUCCAGAAAAGCUCUGCUCUAAGUACUUCUGAAGUUCUGGAAAUCCUGGAUCCUGCCUUUAUCACCACCGUUCUUAAAUUGCAUGGUGACGUCCUUGAUGUAAGUCAUCCGUUGGGUUCUUUCAAUCUGGACCUCAUGGCCUUCAAUUUGGAGGACUUUUCUGGUGUUAUUUCUUUCAUUAUUUCCUCCUCCAUUUUUUUGAUUCUUCAAAUGCUGCCCUUUAGGGAAAGAGAAAAUAGUGGCGUUUCCCAAAAGCAUCGCAUCACACACCCCCACGUCCCAUCUUUCACCACCCCACGGGCGCACGCACACACGAGCACACGCACACAUGUGCACACAUACACGGGCAUGUUUGCGUGCCUACCCCGUUGCUGUCUUUCCCUUGUACGGAGCUCCGUUACCUGACUCCUAGUUAAACUGACUUAAAAUUGUGCUGCAUCUGGACACGGACUGUGGAGGAAUGUCGCAGGCGGGCACCCGGGCCCUGAUGCCCUUCACGGCGUGAGGUGCCCGAGUGAGAACGAGGAGAGUGGGGGACGAGGGUCUGCCACCACUCCCACCGUUCCCCGGGUGUGAGCUGGGGAGUCCGGCUGGACCUGGGGGUUCGGGCUGUUGUGGGAAGGACAAGGGUUAAGGCCGGGACGAGCUCGUUUAAUCCCCAGUCCAGACCCUCACCCCCUCCUGUCUGUUAGAUGGGAUCACGGAAAACACAACGUUAGCGGCUCGCUCGAGGUCACCCCGGGAAGUGAUGGAGCCGGCGUCCGAGCCCAGGUGCGGUGGGCAGGGAGUCGGGUCACCUCUGAUGGGGCUACAGGUGCAGGUGUCGCGGUCAGAGGCAGGGGACCAAGAAGUGUCCGCUUCCCCCAGGGGUGAAGGUGAAGGAGGCAGAGCGAGGGCGGAAUGGAGUGGUGCGGAUUGACACCCCCUAGCACCCACCGGAGACCUAAGUGGAGGGGCGGGUCACGGCUCGUCAGCCUGUCCCUUGAGCGGCCGCGUGUCCUGGGAAAGCCACCUGCCCUGGAUCUGUUGCCUCAUCUACAGCGGGAGGAGGGGGGGCCAGAACAUCUCCACGGCUCUUGGCGACUCUGGAGUUCUGUAAUUGGGGUGCUCGCUGUCUGCGGGACCUCGUUGUGACCUGUCCGCUGAAGUUAUUUUCUGUGAAAAAGAGCAGACUUCUGUUGUAGGAGAGACAACACCGUCGCGGGCCAAGCCGUGUGAGUUCCAGGGAUGUUUCCACUUCGCUUUCACGGACACACCAGUGUGAUGUCAGAUUUCAAAGUUCGUCACGCCGCCGCCCACCCCCCCCCCCCCCUUGCACUCAGUCCAUCACCACGUCCUGUGAGCCCUACCGCCCUCCGCCCCAAAUACCCGCAAAGUGCCUGUCUGUCUGCCCUGAGCCCAGCCCUUCGCGGGCCCCGCACCCCUAACUCCUCCAGGCCGCACAGGGCUGGGCAGCCGCAGGGAGCGCCUCUGAGCAGGGUGGCUUCAGGAGGCUCCCGGCUCUCCUUGCUCCCUUGUCCCCGCUCAGUCUCGCUUCUGCUCCGUCUCCCCCCACAGAAGGAAAGCGGCUGGGUGGCAGGGUCCUGCCUGCUGGCUCACUGAUGUAGCCCAGCGUCUGGAGCCCUGUGGGCGCCAGGAGGCACUCGGUAAACGUGUGCAGGGGUGAAUGAGCGAACAGACCACAGCUGGCCAGGGGAGGGCACAGGUUCCCAGCGAGAGCGGGAGCCGGGCUCUCUCCCGACCCCCGCCUCUCUGAAGGCUCUGAGCUGAGUAAGUGUGGACCCGCCCUCAAGCCUUAGGUACCAGGAAGUAGGUGGAACUGAUUUUCAGAGUUAAGAAUUCGUGAAAGAUACCUAAUUGUUAUUAUGCUUACAUUUCUUUCCAGUUGGUUCUAAAUUGUGUAUGAUCCGCCCAUCAGUCGAUGCUGCUAACAGCCAAAGGAAGUGACAGGUGUAUUUUCUCCUUCAUCUCUGUCUAGACUUCCUAGGGGCCCAUGAGCAUCCCUGUAACGAAGGCCCCUCUGUCCUGUGUCCUGUGAUGAUGCAGCAUCACCAGGGGCCACCCGUGCAGAGGUCCCCCCGUUGUCCUGGCGUCCGUGUAUCAAACACACACGGGCCCACGGCCCUUCUGCCACUCACGGACCCCCCACCAGCACAGGGACAGGGUCCAGUGGGAGGCAUAUCAUGUAGGGCGCAGGCAAAAUAGAACAGGCCACCGCAGGAUCUGGUGACGGGCACUGGGUGCACACGGGGUGGCUGAGUCUGAGGUUUUAGGGGGACGUGAGCCUCCACCUGAAUCUGCGGACACGGGGCAGAGUCUCCCCACAGCACACGUGUUAACAGCACUGCCACACGCUGGCAGACCCGGAAGCCAGAGGAGCAGGCGUUUACUCUGAGCCCCCGGACGGAUGCCGCGCCCAGAACCCGGGGGUCUUACAAAAGAAGGAAGACACAGGCAAGUGCCAGGACCCCGCUGGGGAAGAUGCUGCAGGUCAGUGAAGCGAUCGUGGCGCACUGCCAGUUUCUGGUCCUCUGCGCGCUUGCGUAACCUUGCUUAGAGGAUAAGAGCAAAUAUACAGAUGCAUCUGGGACUGGGCAGGUGCCGAGGUGCAUGGGUGCCAGGACAUGUGACCUUUGUAGCGGCAGCAGAGAGCCAGGCAUUCCUCAGAAGUACGUCUGGAAGGUCAGCGCGUCCUAUAAAUUGGAGAGAGGCAAGUGGGUGAGGCUGGGGACCUUGGGUCACGGCCGGAGCCUAGUUCCUCCAGUGUGUUCCGGGCGGAGCAGAUACGGCCAGGGAACCCUGGCUGGACUGCUCUGCCCUUGGCUUGCCUUUGGGGGGUGGAUUUGGAGAGUUCUGGAGAACUGCCCCUCGCUGUGUCCCCUGUGUCCCCCUGCCCUUGUCGGGGGAUGCCCCGGAUGGAGCCCCUCCCACCACCCCCUGCCAGCACCUCGGUGUCUGCCCCGGAGAGCUCUGGACACUCAGGGCUGGGUUAGCAUCCUAUAGACAACCCUUCUUUACUCUUGCUGCAUGAGUUGGUGGAAACAAGAAGGAUGUUAUGAAGUGAUUUGGGAAGAAAUGAAAAUAUAUGGCUGUCUCUUCUAAAAGGGUCACCUGCUGACCCGCAGAGGAAGUCUUCAUGCUCUUUGUACGGUGGAGAAGAUGGGCGAGGAGCAGGGUGGAGCGAGAAGAGACACUUGUCCAGAGGCUCCUGUCCCCAACCCCCCCCCCCCGCCCCCCGUGUGUGCCCUGCUGCCCUGGGAGCAUGCCGGAGACACAUGAGUGUUUCUGGACCAGCAGUGAAUAGAGGAAGCGGGGUCCAGCAUCUUCGCGGCUUAGAGAUGUUGUACCCAGUUUACCCGUGGGAGACAAUGAAGUUCGAAUGAAUUGCUAAUUAGUAUCUACAGCAGUGUUUUUGGUGAUCAGUACAUAAAAUACUCUUACAGACCACUAAGGAAAGGCAGCCCAAUAACUCUGCUCCAAAAGAAAAGUAGAUUAAGAUCUGAACAAGUAUUCGCAAAAGAAAGAGUUCAAAAGGCCGGUGAACGAAUGGAAAAUACCCUGAUUCACGAACUGCUAAAGAAACAUGCAAAAAUGGUGUUGUGUUCUGCACCUUGGCGGGCUCUACAGACAGCAGGCUUCCCCUACACCCUAACGCCCAGCUACCGAAGGUCUGGGAAGCGGCCCGCGUGUGCUCCUGGCGGGAACACGAGUGGGCGGCGCUGUUGAGACGGGCUUGGCUCCAGCCCCGUCACAUCUGUGCACGUAGUCGACCCUGAGGGGGUCGCGGGAGUGAGUACGCGGCGUCACCCCACCAGCAUGCGCUCCACGAGAUGAAGGCAGAAAUAACCCAAGUAUUGGGUGACGGGGACACGGCAGAGACUGCUGGCUGUUCUGGCCCCCCCCUUCCUCCCACAGUGAGAGGACUUGGCCACGUUCAUUUGUUCUUACUGGACCCGUGUGCACCAAGUUGAAAUAAUCAGUAUCCUGGGUUCAUGAAAAAUCGCCACGGUUAGCCUGUGCGUGCGUG